AACCCCUACGGUUAGUUGCUAACGGGUAAGGCCGAGCACUUUAGCCGAACUGCCGUUGACAAACGGAGAAGCGGGGAUGACGUCAAAUCAUCAUGCCCUUUAUGUCCUGGGCUACACACGUGCUACAAUGGCCUGUACAAAGGGCAGCAAAGGGGCGACCCGGAGCAAAUCCCAAAAAACAGGUCUCAGUUCGGAUUGCAGGCUGCAACUCGCCUGCAUGAAGGCGGAAUCGCUAGUAAUCGCAGGUCAGCAUACUGCGGUCGAAUACGUUCCGGCCUU
rnacentral:rRNA from 1 species